rnacentral:rRNA from 1 species
GUCCCCUAAAUAGUGACUAGUAUGAACGGCUAUACAAGAAUAAACCUGUCUCUUUUGACAAAUCAGUGAAACUGAUCUUCCAGUACAAAAGCUGGAAUACCAACAUAAGACGAAAAGACCCUGUGGAGCUUCAAUAUCACUCUAUCCCCAUUAGCACAAAUAUUUUAGUUGGGGCAACUUCGGAACAAAACUAAACUUCCGAGCAUGCUCCGGAAACACCGCUAUCAAGACAAACAUGUCAAAACCCGAGCCAGAUCCAGUAACCCACUGACCAACGAACCAAGUUACCCCAGGGAUAACAGCGCCAUCUUCUUCUAGAGCCCCCAUCGACAAGAAGGUUUACGACCUCGAUGUUGGAUCAGGACACCCCAGCAGCGCAGCCGCUACUAAAGGUUCGUUUGUUCAACGAUUAAAGCCCUACGUGAUCUGAGU